GAUGAAGAAUGUAGCGAAAUGCGAUAAGUAAUGUGAAUUGCAGAAUUCAGUGAAUCAUCGAAUCUUUGAACGCACCUUGCGCCCUUUGGCUAUUCUGAAGGGCAUGCCUGUUUGCGUAUCGUGAACACCUCAACUCUCAUGGUCUGCCAUGAUGAGCUUGGACUUUGGGGGUCUUGCUGGCCUACUGUCAGCUCCUCUCAAAUGAAUCAGCUUACCAGUGUUUGGUGGCACCACAGGUGUGAUAACUAUCUACGCUUGUGGUUUUCUGCCAGGUAACCUCCAGUGAUGGAGGUUCGCUGGAGCUCACAAAUGUCUCUCCUCAGCGAGGACAGCUUUUUGAACGUUUGAUCUCAAAUCAGGUAGGACUACCCGCUGAACUUAAGCAUAUCAAUAAGCGGAGGA
rnacentral:misc_RNA from 1 species